CCUACGGGGGGCACCAGUGGGGAAUAUUGGACAAUGGGCGCAAGCCUGAUCCAGCCAUGCCGCGUGAGUGAUGAAGGCCCUAGGGUUGUAAAGCUCUUUUGUACGGGAAGAUAAUGACGGUACCGUAAGAAUAAGCCCCGGCUAACUUCGUGCCAGCAGCCGCGGUAAUACGAAGGGGGCUAGCGUUGCUCGGAAUCACUGGGCGUAAAGGGUGCGUAGGCGGGUUUUUAAGUCAGAGGUGAAAUCCUGGAGCUCAACUCCAGAACUGCCUUUGAUACUGGGAAUCUUGAGUAUGGAAGAGGUGAGUGGAACUGCGAGUGUAGAGGUGAAAUUCGUAGAUAUUCGCAAGAACACCAGUGGCGAAGGCGGCUCACUGGUCCAUAACUGACGCUGAGGCACGAAAGCGUGGGGAGCAAACAGGAUUAGAACCCCGGUAGUCC
rnacentral:rRNA from 1 species